GUUUCUGUGGUGUAGUGGUUAUCACGUUCGUUUUACACGCGAAAGGUCCCCAGUUCAAUCCUGGGCGGAAAGA